GAAAUGCGAUAAGUAAUGUGAAUUGCAGAAUUCAGUGAAUCAUCGAAUCUUUGAACGCACAUUGCGCCCCUUGGUAUUCCGAGGGGCAUGCCUGUUCGAGCGUCAUUACACCACUCAAGCACUGCUUGGUAUUGGGCAUCGUCCGUCGAAAGACGGGCGUGCCUCGAAGACCUCGGCGGGGCCUAACCGGCUUCGGGCGUAGUAGAGUUAAAUCGAACGUCUUAUAAGUCUGGUUAGAACCCAUUGCCGUAAAACCUUUAUUUUUCUAGGUUGACCUCGGAUCAGGUAGGGAUACCCGCUGAACUUAA
rnacentral:misc_RNA from 1 species